ACUUCGUUCCCCAACUCUUCCCACCCCCUCCCUUGCAGAGUGAGAUUGUUUUGUCUGGAAAAAAAUCCAAAGUAUAACAAGGGGAGAACAGUUAGUGCUGAUUUUCAUUUGCAUAAAUUUUCAUAUAUUUUGGUGAAAAUAAUAGACUAGUGGAGAGCGGGGCUUAGUGGAGUCAGUGCAAAGGAAAAUCUUAACAUGGAUCGUUUCGCUGGAGUUGAGAACAUGCUUUUUUCCCCCUGUCACCUUAUUAAAAUCAAAAAUUAAAAAAAUUUCUCUAAAUCCUGGAAGUAUGAUCGGAGUCUGCCCCUGAUUUUAGUCCAAAGGAGCUGCUCUUUGAAAUGGCGUGUCCAGCUUUGGCGUUUGCCUGCUGAGGAAGAGGCCUGCUCUCUUCUCCACUCUUGGUACAAGGAUUUUUCUCUCUCCAAGUAAUUCCUCAGCAUUGCCUUGAAAGACAUCUGCCACACUAGAUAACUUUUUCAACCCACAAGACCGAAACAACUUCCCUUAAUUGAAAUGACUCCAGAACAGUUAUUCCCUAGAAGACAUCCUCCUUGAUUUCUUGCGGGGCCUGUAAGAUGACUGAAGUCGUAGGAUGUCUGAAGUAGAAAAGAGUGCCAGAGACACCACAGAACAUGGGGAAUGUUGUCCUGCUUCUGAGGUUCAGAUAUACAACUCAACCAUGGGCAGCUGAGGAUGGACUUUCUGCCUCGAUAGGUUUCUGUGGAACAGCAAAGACAUGGAAAAGACAUUGAGGUCCUGUUGCUCCCAUUGGAAACUUCUGUUGGCUGCAGCAUGAGUUGGAUUGGACCCAGAGAAACUGAAUACACACAAGUAAUGAUGAGUUGGCCAUACAAGCAAGGAAAAUCACAGAUAACAGGUGCACACCAAUUAGCAAUGUACCUUUUAGGUCAUCCAAUACAGCUCCAUGUCACAAUGAGAUUGUUUCAUAUGGUAUU